rnacentral:tRNA from 1 species
AGUAAAAUGGCUGAAUUUAGGCAAUAAAUUGUAAAUUUAUUUAUGAAGUUAAUCUUCUUUUACUA